AUCAGACUACGCAUGCGAGUCAGGUGUCUUCGAGACGCCGGCAACGGCUCAGUAACGUAGGUUUCUACCCUCAGGACUGAGAUACCCGGGACCUGGGGCUAAUACCAGAUAGAUAAAAGAUACUGGAAUGUUCUUUUAUCCAAAGCUUUUGUGCCUGAGGAUGAGCCUGCGCCCGAUUAGGUAGUUGGUGGGGUAAUGGCCCACCAAGCCUGCGAUCGGUACGGGCAGUGGGAGCUGUAGCCCGGAGUUGGGGACUGAGACAAGGCCCCAGGCCCUACGGGGCGCAGCAGGCGCGAAACCUCUGCAAUGCGGAAACCGUGACAGGGGGAUCCCAAGUGCUCAUGCAUGCAUGGGCUGUCUUGGCUAGUACGGAGGAGU
rnacentral:rRNA from 1 species